AUUGAACGCUGGCGGCAGGCUUAACACAUGCAAGUCGAACGAGUGGCGGACGGGUGAGUAAUGCUUGGGAAUCUGGCUUUUGGUGUGGGAUAACUACCCGAAAGGGUGGCUAAUACUGGAUACUAAGAGAUGAGCCUAUGUGGGAUUAGCUAGUUGGUGGGGUAAUGGCUCACCAAGGCGACGAUCUCUAGCUGGUUUGAGAGGAUGAACCGCCCAACUGGGACUGGGACACGGGCCAGACUCCCUACGGAGGCCGCAAGGGGGAAAUUUUGACAAAGGGCGAAAACCUUGACCAGCAAUAGCGGGUGUUAUAAAAAGGGCCUAGGGUUGUAAAGCACUUUUGUUAGGGAGAUGUUACCUAAAGAAUAAGCACCGGCUAACUCCGUGCCAGCAGCCGCGGUAAUAC
rnacentral:rRNA from 1 species